rnacentral:snRNA from 1 species
AGGUUUGCUCAGCGGCUGUAUCAAAGGCACGGAGGUUUAUCUGAGGCACGAUUAUUUCUAGUUGAAAACUUUUCCAAAUACUCCGCUAUGAUGACUUGAAAUAUAGUCAGCAUUGGCCAUUUUUGACAGUCUCUACGGAGA